ACAUAAGGCAACUGUCGUAGACCUUAACAAGGCCUCCUCGUUUCAUCAUUAAAGUAAAUCUAAUUAUAGUAACGGAAAGAUGAUUAGUAGACAAUUAAUAUAUUGGUAUUGGACAUGGAACAGGAUAGGGACUACUUUAAUGCUCAUUUACUGUGUCAAAACUUUUCAAGUAACUCGAUAUUGGGACAAUAUAAUAGCAUUAAUAUGAAUCUAAUAAUAAUGUACAGCAACAAAGAGAUAACAUAAGUUCUUCUGAUGCUUUUUCCUGUUCGAAACCAAAGAAGAUGCUUCUUCUGCAGCUCUGUACAAAGGAAGACAUUUGAGACUCUUUGACUACUUUUGGAGACUUUUAUGUGUUUUUUCAACGGAUGAAAGGAGAUGAUGAGAUGAAGAGGAAGAAAAAGACAAUUUAAAGUGACUUACUUGGUAUCUUGAUGAGGAUAAGAUGCUUGGAUUUGAGCUGGACAAGACAUAUCAUCAAGAACAACAACACUUCGAAUCGGAAUGCCUUGGAAACAAAGGGACAAAAGGGAAAAUGAUAAUCAUUGGACUUUUAAAAUUUAAAGUUGCUCAAAAUUGGAAUCAAGGAUCAAGUAAACCCCAUUUCGUAUUGAUAUUUGUAUUGAACCUUUUCCUUUUGGUUGGAUGGGGCUGUGUCGCUCAAAGCUCAUACAAUCUCAGUGAUUAAUUAACUGGUGACUGAGUCGAUUACAUUAACAUAUAACAUUGUUACAUUGACUGUUGAGAUGUUUGUGUGAGAAAGUAUUGGCAUUUAAAAUGUACAAAGAAAUAUUUUCGUUACGGUCACUGCUUAUUGACCGUUAAUUGUAUAUUUUUGCAACUUAAAUUGUCAAAUCCGUAAGACUAUGCAACUUCAAGUAUGAGAUUUGAUCAAUCUAUCAUCAACAUAACCAAGAAGGCUUGUCAAAGUAACUGAAAAUUAUGCUCUUUUAUUUUAUUGUAGAUUCCUGAUGUUUGUGGUUUAACUGUUGAUAAUCAGUUGAUGAGGCUUACCUGUUUUACGGAUAAUAACUUCCAUAGCAACGUAAAAGAGAUUGGGAUCGGUGUGUUUUAGCCUGAAUUUGUGUAGCAACAUUCGAACCAUGUCAUUACAUGUUGUAUCUUCAGUUAUGGAAAGUGUUUUAUACUCAAUAUCAGAGCAUAACACUUUGGUGUAAAUUUUAAUCAUGGACUGUAAUCAAGGAGAACAAGAGGAAAUCGUUAAUUAAUUAGCUAUAAGUAUAUAUCAUGAAUUGUUUAAACAAGUUAAUUGUGUCAAAAGAGCGAGAGGAAAGUGGAUUAUGACUUGAGGCUGAACUGGAUUCACAUUUAAAAUCAAAUUAACAGUUUUUUUCUACUCCUGCCUUCAUCUUCUUCGUUAUCAUCUUCAAUUGAAUUCAGUUGAAUUCAUUAAAUUGCACAUUUUACUAUCGUUCAUUUUAAACAUCAAGCUUAAUCGUUUCCGUUUGUAACUGAAACGGAAGCUUUGAAAGAUUGUCUUUACGCACAUCGAAAGUUUUUGAAAAAUUUAGAUUUCAAGUUUUUUGUGUUUACUGUUGAUGAGAGUGUUGAUUGUUUACUAGCUUACUGAGAAGGCUACCGGAAAAAGUAACUCCAAUGAAGGUAACUUGGUGUUGGUUAGCCUUAGAAGGUUAAUUGUGGCUCGUGGUCCGUGUCAAUGGACAACACCCUAGACCGGAUAAUAUUUGAUUAUCUCUACCCUUAAGGUUAUCAGAAUAAAGUUGAAUAUGAAGAUGAAGGAAGGAAGAAAGAAAGUAAAGAAAUAACAAUUUAAAGUCUAAAAUGGUAAACAAUCAAUACCGGUAAAGCCAAAAUUUACUCUCAAAAGUCUGUAAAAUACACAAAAUUCAAUCUGAAUCAAUGUUUGAAAGUCUUGUCAUUGUCCUGAGUAUAGAUCAGACUAAUUUUAAUAUUCACAGUGUGGACAAUCGAUGACAAUAAUACUUGUGUAUACAGCAUCGAAAAUAAAGUUAGGCUUCAUUUUAGUAUCUUUUGAUAAGAAUGACUAGUAAAUUGGUCAAAGAAAACAUUCUUAUCAAAAUAUGGGCAAAGACACCAAAAUAAGAUAUAACUUUUUUUCGAUGCUGUAUAAAGAAACGUAAAUGUUGAAACUUUUACUUACUUUCGAAGGUCCCGAUGAAAUGGAAUCCGAGAUGGAUGAUCUAUCUGAAUCAAAAACCAUGAUGGAUUCACAAAUGAUAGUUGAAAUCCGAGUUGUCAAUGAAAUAAACACAAGUUUCAAAGAAAAACUUAAAAGAUUUGAUAAAGUCUCACAAAAGCAGUAAAAGUAAGAAAAAGAUGAAUGAAAAUGAAAAGGUUACAGAAAAAUCAAUUGAACAGUCGUAAGUUAUUAACUGUAAUGUUGAUUAAAAUAUAUCCAAGGUAUUGUCUGUUGAUUAAACUAAAGGAAAGGUAAACAAUGUAAACAAAAUAAAAUAGUUUGUUAAUUGUUCAAGUUGUUGAUGUUGUUCACACUGUUAAAUCUUUGAGUGUGUGAGUAUGUGAACUGUAAGAUGCACAAAAUGUGCAGCAAAUUUAUUUCUUGAGCCUGCGUAUAGCCAUAAAAAACAACAACAAGAUGAAAGGUUCAAGUCCUUUUAAAUGGGCAGGUCACUUUUCCUUUACCGACAUACACAAAAGCUAGGCCUCGUUGGCUUGGCCCCGAAGUCUCUGGCCUUACAAGCUACUAACGUAAAGAGAGUUGCCCUCAACUUUCCCUAUUAGCUUCGGGGGUUAACCUCCUCCCACUUCCUUUCUCCUUACAAAGAGAUGAUGAGGACGAUGAAGAGAUGAAGAUAAAGAGGAUGAUAAGGAUAAAUUGUGACCUGAAGAGGAGAGAGAGAGAAAAGCGAAUCAAAGAAUAAUGGUUUGAGAGACAAAAUUUUGACCUGAGUUGACAAGUUUGACUGGAUAAAAAGAUAUAAAAUGGUACACAGAGAAAGUGCGAGAAUUUAUAUGUUAAUAAUAACAAUUUAAUCUGUAUUAUAUCAUGAUUGAUUAUUAUUGUUAUAGCUAAUAGCUUACAAUCAAUGAAUGUUGAUUUAUUUACGCUGUAUUUGAUUAAACUGAUUGUUCCAACGUCCAUUCAUAUAAAUGUUUGCUUGCUUCAAGUCUACUGUUGAUCAAAGUUUAACCAAUUAAACUAUUU